GGUGACGCUUCGGAGAGCAGCCACACGUUUAGCUGCUACACGUUUUCUUGAUGAUUUUUAAAUCUAAAAACGAAAAGAAGAACCACCAGUUUGGGAUAUGCAACUUGGAAACAUGGCCAAAUCUAAAGACAAAGUGAAAAACUUUAUGGCCAAGCUGAGAGCAGAGUUCAUCAGUGGGCAAAGUUUAGCAGGAGCGCUCACAGAAACUUGGAUUUCACUCCCGCCGCAUGAACAAAUGAACGUGCUGCGUCAUCUCAUGGAAGAAGGAGCCUCUCCAUCCCAAGACAGUUCCUUCAACACACUUUCUGACCAGAGAGCCAACACUAAAGCCG